AUUGAACGCUGGCGGCAUGCUUUACACAUGCAAGUCGAACGGCAGCGAGAGAGAAGCUUGCUUCUCUUGUCGGCGAGUGGCGAACGGGUGAGUAAUACAUCGGAACGUACCCUGUAGUGGGGGAUAACUACUCGAAAGAGUAGCUAAUACCGCAUACGACCUGAGGGUAAAAGCGGGGGACCGCAAGGCCUCACGCUAUAGGAGCGGCCGAUGGAAGAUUAGCUAGUUGGUAGGGUAAAGGCCUAACAAGGCGACGAUCUUUAGCGGGUCUGAGAGGACGAUCCGCCACACUGGGACUGAGACACGGCCCAGACUCCUACGGGAGGCAGCAGUGGGGAAUUUUGGACAAUGGGCGAAAGCCUGAUCCAGCAAUGCCGCGUGAGUGAAGAAGGCCUUCGGGUUGUAAAGCUCUUUUGUUUGGGAAGAAAUCCUAAAGGCUAAUAUCCUUUGGGGAUGACGGUACCAAAAGAAUAAGCACCGGCUAACUACGUGCCAGCAGCCGCCGUAAGAC
rnacentral:rRNA from 1 species